rnacentral:rRNA from 1 species
UACGUAGGGCGCAAGCGUUGUCCGGAAUUAUUGGGCGUAAAGAGCUCGUAGGCGGCCUGUUGCGUCCGCUGUGAAAUCCCGGGGCUUAACCCCGGGCUUGCAGUGGAUACGGGCAGGCUGGAGGCAGGCAGGGGAGAACGGAAUUCCCGGUGUAGCGGUGAAAUGCGCAGAUAUCGGGAGGAACACCGGUGGCGAAGGCGGUUCUCUGGGACGGUACUGACGCUGAGACGCGAAAGCGUGGGGAGCGAACAGG